AAUGUCAAGGAAGUGUCUCUUGGUAACAGACUCUAGACUUUGUCUGAGCAGGGAAGAUCUUCCAGGAUCAAGCUCUCAGCCUCCUCGCUGUCUAGUCAUGCUCUUGGUGACCAUUCUACUACUUGGACUGCCUUUCACACUGAAGGAAAGCGGAGCCCAGACAGUGACCCAGCCUGACCUCCAUGUCACUGUCUCUGAAGGAGUCCAGCUGGAGCUGAGGUGCAAUGGUUCCUAUGCUGCAACACUUUAUUUCUUCUGGUACGUCCAAUACCCGGGCCAAAACCUUGAGCUUCUCCUCAAAUACGUGGCAGGGGACACCGUGGUUAAAGGAAUCAAAGGCUUUGAGGCUGAGUUUAGGAAGAGUGAAUCGUCUUUCAACCUGAGGAAGCCCUCAGCCCACUGGAGCGACUCCGCUGUGUACUUCUGUGCUGUGAAUGGCACAGUGCCUGGGGCUGCAGGGGGAGCUGAGCACAAACCUCUUGAGAUGGAACCUUCUGUGGCCCAGAGCACAGCCUGA